CAGUAAAGCAGCAUCUCCACGUGGACUCUGGCUCCCUGCAUCAGUACCACCUUGGGAGACUGGGAAGCAAAGGUCUCAGCAUGAACCACAAUCAACUAAAUCUUCACACCUUUCUAGUUAUAGCCAAGUGUUGGAUGUGCGUCCUUGUCUCCAGCUUCCUGUAGCAUUGUCUUUUAAGGGGCAUCCCCUCCCUCUGUGAAUGUCUGGCUACUCUUCCAACCACUCUUCCUGGUGAGUUUCAUCAAUAAGGAAAGGUUCGGCCUGAGUUUGUUGUAGUAUCUUUGGUCCAUAGAACCUUAGAUG
rnacentral:lncRNA from 1 species